GACGAACGCUGGCGGCGUGCUUAACACAUGCAAGUCGAACGGUAAGGCCCUUCGGGGUACACGAGUGGCGAACGGGUGAGUAACACGUGGGUGAUCUGCCCUGCACUUCGGGAUAAGCCUGGGAAACUGGGUCUAAUACCGGAUAGGACUCCUGGCUUCAUGGUUGGGUGUGGAAAGCUUUUGCGGUGUGGGAUGGGACCGCGGCGUAUCAGCUUGUUGGUGGGGUAAUGGCCUACCAAGGCGACGACGGGUAGCCGGCCUGAGAGGGUGACCGGUCACACUGGGACUGAGAUACGGCCCAGACUCCUACGGGAGGCAGCAGUGGGGAAUAUUGCACAAUGGGCGCAAGCCUGAUGCAGGGACGCCGCGUGAGGGAUGACGGCCUUCGGGUUGUAAACCUCUUUCAGCUAUGACGAAGCGCAAGUGACGGUAGUAGCAGAAGAAGGACCGGCCAACUACGUGCCAGCCGCCGCAGUAACAC
rnacentral:rRNA from 1 species